GACAGAGGAGGCGAGCGUUAUCCGGAGUUAUUGGGCGUAAAGGGUACGUAGGCGGCUGGUCAAGUCUGGGGUCAAAGACCACAGCUCAACUGUGGGAGGGCCCUGGAAACUGACCGGCUAGAGUGAGGUAGGGGUUGCGGGAAUUCCCGGUGUAGCGGUGAAAUGCGUAGAUAUCGGGAAGAACACCUGAGGCGAAAGCGCGCAACUGGGCCCUAACUGACGCUGAGGGACGAAAGCUAGGGGAGCGAAUGGG
rnacentral:rRNA from 1 species